rnacentral:tRNA from 1 species
GCCUCCGUAGCUCAGUGGAUAGAGCGAGGGCGUCCUAAGCCCUGUCGUCGGGAGUUCGAUUCUCUCCGGGGGCA